GAGAGAUAGAGAGAGGAGUGGAGCAGGAGUUGGGUAAAAGGGGCUGAAGUCCUGCGUCUUCUCCGCCGCAGCCGCUGCGCGUAAAAGUCGCCUCAGAUCCACAGAUUGAACCCGGUGCCAAACCGUGUUUUACGCCGUGAAUCGUUGUGCGGUUGAAACAAACCAACUGACAGCGACACACCCUGCUGAAGCUCCGGGACUCCGCCGAGCAGUGGCCGAAGGAGGAAGCCUGAACUCCGCCGGGUCCGCUCGGGAUGGGCUGUCCACGCCGGAGCGACCCGGCCGCCGGUCAAGGAAUCUGUGAGCAGAGGAAGGGAAGAGGAGUCUUGCCUCGUCCUCCGUCACCCCGGGCUGUCUGCUUCAAGCUCUCACGCUCACUGGCCGACUCCCGGCACCUCCCCUCGCACCCUCGGCCCCCAAAUGGCUGACGCACAGCAGUUCUUCACUGGCGAGCUUUAUGUUCCUGUACACAUGCUAAAGCUGCCAGCUGAAGAACUGUUCUGGUCUGCCCUGCCCCGGACGACUCGAGGAGAGGAAGCUGACAGCUGAAGGUGGGAGGGGGACUGAGGAAGGAGGCAGUUUCACACACUCGGUAGUUAAACUGGACUUGUACAACCGUUAUUUAUAUUCUUGUGCUAAUCACAUGUAAGGUUGUUAAAAAUAUUAAUAUGCUCUUGUCUAAGUUUAAUGGUGACAGAUUUGCAACUUUAGUUUUAGUUAAUGUGUCAAACUGGUAAUCUGCUGGUUAAAAGCACCAAUAAAGUAUUAAAAGUCCUGCAUAUUAUUUUCUUGUGUCCUAAAUAUUUACUGUAAUGUAAGUUUUAAAAUGUUUUAAUGUUUUUUUUUCGCAAAGAGCUGCUGUCUGGAAAGUAUAAUUUCAAACUUCAACAUUCUUCAGCUAAUGACUGAUGAUUUUAAUUGUUCGUCCAUCCGUCUCUUAUUCAUCUGUAUCUUCUGUGAUAUUAAACACAUCUUGAGAAAACA